AACACAGGUCUGUGCGAAGGCGUAAGCCGACGUAUACGGGCUGAGGCCUGCCCAGUGCCAGAAGGUUAACUGAGAGGAUAACCCCGACUUGUUCGGGCUAGUCUUUGAUUGAAGCCCUGGUGAACGGCAGCGGUAACUAUGAACAAAAUUGUAGUUAUAAAAGUCGACUAUUUGCUGGAAUCCCCGUACCGCACAAGCGGUUGUAGUAUCUGUCGCUACUAUGGUAAAUUAAUAUCAUAGUGAAAAUGCGUACAGUGCGGAAAAUCAGCAGGAAAGACUUGACUCAUAGGGAUGAUGCAAUGGGAUAUUUCCUCGCCGGAUUUACAGAAGGUGAAGGGAGUUUCAAUGUUUCGCUUCGUAAAAAAGAUGACUAUGCACUUAAAUGGCAAGUAGUGAUGAGUUUUAAUGUAUCUCAAAAAGAUCCAGCAUUACUCAAAUUACUUCAAACCACUUUAGACUGUGGGAUCAUCAAAGUACGCAAGCGAGAUGGACUCUUUUCAUACGAUGUAACCAAUCCGACGGACGUAAUAUUUAAAGUAAUUCCUUUUUUCCAAAAAUAUCCGCUAGUCUCAAAAACUAAGAAAAGCAAUUUUCAUAUUUUUUGUCUCAUAGCCAAAAUCAUGGAGAAUGGGGGUCACAGAAAGAUUACAGGUUUACAUAAAAUCGUUAGGUUGAGAGAAAAGCUCAACCCAGGGAUCAGUCGUAAACGAAAAUAUAACAUGAGCGAUGUCAUCAAAUAAUUUAAGAAUCCUCAGAGACUAUAUGUCGACGACUCACAAGGUGGGUCAUGAUAUAGUCCGAUCUCAUGAGCGAUCAUGAGCUAACACAAAUGAACUGUUCUAUGGUAGCGAAAUUCCUUGUCGGGCAAGUUCCGACCUGCACGAAUGGCGUAACAACUUUGAAACUGUCUUGAGGAGGGACUCGGCGAAAUUGAAAUGGCUGUGAAGAUGCGGCCUACUGACAACAGGACAAAAAGACCCCGUGGAGCUUUACUGUACCUUGACACUGAAUUUUAUGUUUUGACUGUGUAGCAUAGGUGGGAGGCGCAAGCCGACAAGUGUAAUACCACUCUUUGAAACGUGAAAUUCUUACUUAUCUCGCUGGAUCGCGAGAGAGGACACUGUCUGGGAGGCAGUUUAACUGGGGAGGUUGCUUGCUAAAGAGUACCGCAAGCGCGCAAUGGUAUCCUAAUUCCGGAUGGAAAUCGGAAUGAUAGUGCAAGGGCAUAAGGAUGCCUGACUGUGAGACAUACUGGUCAAGCAGAGACGAAAGUCGGACCUAGUGAUCCUCGUGUACUUCGUGGGAGGUACCGGGCUUAUCGGAUAAAAGCUACCCCGGG
rnacentral:rRNA from 1 species